CAAACAAAAAAAACCCUCUGGAGGGAUGAGUCGCUGGCGAGUGCGGCUGCAGGCGCCUCCGUGCCACGGAUUUUAAAAGGGGACGCGAGGGGAAGGAACGAGAAGAGGGCUACGUAGAGAAAGAGUUAGAACCCCCCAAAGGGCGCCGCGGGGCACCUGGUCUGCUCCGAGCCCGGCUCCCAGGGGCACUCGGUCGGCAGCAGCUCGGGUCCUUUUGUUACCCCAAAGCAGCCAGCGAUAUGCACAAUCUCCGCACUUUUAGUUUCUCUCUCUCCCUCUCUUCCCAACGUGGAUGUAGACGAGGAACUGGAUUGCUAAGGUGGGAGCUGCAGCGCCGGGUCCCCCGGAGCAAUCCCCACGCAGGCUUCCGACUCGCAGACGAGGCGGUGGAGCCCUGCUCUAGUUGGUGCAAUCUUCGCCGAGCGCACGGCUGCGGAUUGCUCUCCGCGCGUUAGAAACCCAACAAAAAGAAAAAGGAAAUCAGCACGGGUCUACCGGCUCGCGCCGCUCGGCAGACGGAAUCCGCGCUGCACCCCCUUUUUUGGUGGAAAGGGUGGGGGGCGUGGAAGGGGGGGUGCCGGAGAGGGUAGUUACCUACGAUUUAACUGUAGAUGGCGUCUGAGGCUUUUCCAAGAUCGCAAGAGCUCUCCCAAAAUUAAACAAACAGACAAAAAAAUAGCAAGGGAGCAUUUAACUUAGAGCGGUCAACGCUGCCAACAAAAGAUUGCAAAAGCUGGGUGCAGAGUAGUGGCGCGGGCCAUGCGCAGGUACCGCGACAAAGCCCAGGGCUCGGCGGGCCGGGCGGAGGUCAGCACAGGCUCAUGCUGUCGCCAGCCGCUCGCUCGCGCUCCUGGUCGUCCUCCGAAUACUGGGAGAAGUGCGGGCAGGGACCGGGGCAGAUCAGUGCUCUCCGAUUUCCCCAGCCCGAGCGUCCAGGGAUCCUCCGGGCGCUGGUAGGGGAUGCGCCCCCAGCCCUGCUCACUCGCCGCGCUCCUUUCCCGCUGGGUACCUGGAUCUUGCCUCGGAAAAAUUUGCAACCACUCGGUCUCCCCCUACCCUACACCCGACUGCCUGGCCGGGCUGAUAUGGACCACAAGUGAUGACAUUCAUCUUUCUCAAACAACUCUACAGUAAGUCAUACCUAGUCUUAAAAAUCGGCGACAAACUUCCAGGAUAAACAUAGAGAAUGCUGACCCAUGCUGAUAUGCAGGCUGUGGACCACACAACUCCAGACUGUUUCAUUCCCAUUGAGGUCUCUGUGCGUGGCACCCCUGGACUUGUGCAAAACGCAAUCUUCUUGGCCACACGUGGAACCUUGAGCUUAGACAAAUUGGGCUGGAGGGAACCUCCCAGCCACUUCACCUCCACUCGUCUCGGUUACACACCCACCAGCUUCUCAUCAUUUUGUGGACUCCAGUCCCCACCUCUAUGCCCACUGAGAGUCCUCCCAUAAUAGUAAUUUCUUUUCUCAAUCUGUUUUAAACAGUUCGCGUUUGGAAAGCAGUUGUUUAUUUACAAGGUGAUUCCUAG
rnacentral:lncRNA from 1 species